GCGAAGUACGUGCUGCGCAAGUACAAGACGGACGAGGUCGACCUUCUAAGAGAAGGCAACCUGAAGGAAGCAGCCAUGGUGGACGUAUGGACGGAGGUGGACGCGCACACCUACAACCCGGCGCUGUCGCCGAUCGUGUACGAGUGCCUCAUCAACCCGCUCAUGCGCGGCCUGCCGACCAACCAGACGGUGGUGGACGAGAGCCUGGAGAAGCUCAAGAAGGUGCUGGAGGUCUACGAGGCGCGCCUCUCCCAGCACAAGUACCUCGCCGGGGACUUCGUCAGCUUCGCGGACCUCAACCACUUCCCCUACACCUUCUACUUCAUGGCCACGCCGCACGCCGCGCUCUUCGACUCGUAC
rnacentral:lncRNA from 1 species